CGCCAUGACACACUGGUGUGAAGCCGCCACCUCUCAUGGGGGCCUCACAGACCUGCACCAGACGCUUCAUCUUCAAAAACCGUAACCCUAGACAGUUCACCUCCAUGCUUCUCUCUGCAACUACCUCUAAACCACGUACCACUCUUUGCAAAACCCAACAACUUCUUGACUCCAUCAACGCUCUCUGUGACCAAGGCCAAUUGGAGCAGGCCAUAACACUUCCGCAAGACACAGAUCAUCAGGCCAUUAAAAAGAGGUUUCCAGCUUACUCUUGCCUUCUUCAAGCUUGUUCUGAAUCAAUGGCGGCCUCCCUAGCCCAAAAGGUCGAAACCCACAUGGCCAAAACCAGUUUUCCCCAUUGCCUCUUCUUAAACAAUAGACGCAUCGAUAUCUAUUGUAAAUCUGGUUAUAUUAUAGAAGCUCGUAAAGUGUUUGAUGAAAUGUCUGAGAAAGACCUCGUCUCGUAUAAUACAAUGAUUCACGGAUAUUGUUGUUUUGGCCUGUUGGAUGAUGCACGCCAAGUUUUUGUUCAAAUGCAUGAGAAAAAUCAGGUUUCAUGGGGUAUCAUGAUUGGUGGGUAUGUGCGCCAUGAAUAUGCAUUUGAAGCUCUUGAAAUGUUUGUUGAUAUGAAUCGAAGUGGACUUAAGCCUGAACCAAUUAUUUUAGUUGCAGCCCUUCGUGCUUCAGUCGUGGCUGGGAGCUUAAACCAUGGUUGCAGAUUCAUGCUAUUCUUUGAUUGCAGGUUAUGCAAAGCUUGGAAAGGGGGAAAGGGGGAAUUAUCUCUGGUUUUAUAUGUUCAGUUUCUUAGAACUGGUCUGAGAAUCUCUCAAUUUACAUUUGCCGGAGUUCUUAGUGCUUGUGCUGGAAUUUCAGGCCUUGUUGAAGGCAAGCAAAUUCAUGCUCUGGUCUUCAAGACUGGUUUCGAGGGCCAUGUCUUUGUGGCGAAUGCAGUUAUGGACAUGUAUGCAAAUCAGGGGAGCUUGAAAGUUCUUGGAGAGUGUUUAUGGGCAUGCAUCAUAGGGAUAACGUUUCAUGGAAUGGCUUGAUCAGUGGGUAUAGUAGAGAGGGCUUGUCAGAGGAAGCUAUGAAUUUGUUCAUAGAGAUGUUGAAACAUGGAUUUGCUCCCGAUCACUUCACCUUUCCGAAGUCAGCAAUGUUUGUUUUCAAUGGGAGGUCUAACCUCAACACCAUCUCAUGGACGGCCUUGAUUGCUGGUUAUGCACAAAAUGGGUUCAAUGAAGAAGCCAUUAAACUCUUCACCCAUAUGCUCAAAUCAGAUUUUAAACCAGACAAUGGCACUUUCGCUAGUGUGCUCAGUUCUUGUGCGGGCCUAACUGCUCUUAAUUAUGGCAAACAGGUGCAAGUCCAUGCAAUAAAACUUGGUUUUGAUUCAAAUAUAUACACCGCAAAUUCUCUAGUUAGUAUGUAUGCUAAAUGUGGUGACAUGAAAGAGGCAUCGAAGCUCUUUAGUGCAAUGCCCAUUCGAAAUUUGGUGACAUGGAAUGCCAUUAUAGCUGGCCACACACAUAAUGGAGAGGGGAUGGUCGAGGAAGGGUAUUGGCACUUCAGGUCCAUGAGUGAAGAUUUUGGAAUUACCCCUUACCCUGACCAUUAUGCAUGCAUGGUUGAUCUGCUAGGGCGCUGUGGCCGGCCUGAUGAGGCCGAGGAGUUUGUGGAGUCCAUGCCUAUUGAGCCUAAUGGGGUAAUAUGGGGGGCCUUGUUGGGCGCCUGCCGAACCCAUAGGCAUGUUGAGCUAGCUGAACGAGCAGCGGAAAGGCUCUUUGCCAUUGAGCCAAUGAACCCUGUUGGCUAUGAUCUAUUGGCUAAUAUAUAUUCAGCUUGUGCCCUAUGGGAGGGGGUUGCAAGAGUGAGGAAGAUGAUGCACGAGAGGGGAGUGAAAAAGGGGACAGCUUGCUCUUGGUCGGGUCCACCAAGACUAAGAGAGAUUCACGAGAAGCUUGAGGAGUUGGGAGAGGAAAUGAUGAGAUUUGGGCAUGUUCCUGAUAAGAGCUUUGUGUUGCAGCAAUUGGAAGAAGAGCAAAAGGUGCCAGCUUUGAGCUAUCAUAGUGAAAAGUUGGCAGUGGCGUUUGGGCAUAUUAGUAUUGAUGCUCCAGCACCCAUUAGGGUUAUGCAGAAUCUGAGGGUCGUGGGGAUUGUCACAGUGCUAUGAAGCUUAUAUCACGAAUUGAAGGGCGAGAGAUAAUCCUCGGGAACUCCACCCGAUUCCACCAUUUCAACGAUGGAAUAUGUUAUUGUGGGGACUAUUGGUGAAGGUAAAGAAAGUAUGUUCAUCCUCCCAAAUUAUGACUAAAGGGAAAUAACCCAAUGGAAUAUGGGAAAACCACAGUUCAUUAGGGUUAACUCUCAUCCCUUUGCAAUAGAAUGCCAGACAGUGAUGGAGAGAGUGUAGGACACACCAUUGUGGUUAUGUCCUGUUUGUUGUGCCCAACUCUCUCCAUCACCCUCCAUAUCACUGGAUGGUGGGGAUCCCAAUGUACUAUGGUUGUCCCACUGUCUACAAAGAUUUUAGUGUGCUUCCAUAAACUAGAUAUGUGUGAUUUCUAGUGACAUUCUUUUCUGAUUGAAAUGCGAGAUGUUUAGGACAUUUAUAGGCCAGAUGCUGGUGUUAAUAGGCCUGCCAAGUGAAAGACUCAAAUUAAUUACUCCAUAAAGUGUUCCAAAAUACACAAUAUUUAUUUAGUAUCAUCUGAUGACUGCGAUUCCAUUUCCUUUUUCCUAUCAUUACUGAUAUUGCGGGUGCU